AAGCGUUUGCGACCAGACCUUCUCCUGGCGGAUCAUCCGGUGUUUUCACCGGUGCACUUCGCCUGGUUUAGGCCAGCAUCGGUUUCUGUGGGGGGAUAAAAGCUCUGGGAAUGUGGCUCCCUCGGGAGUGUUAUAGCCCUCUGCAUAAUACCCUCACGGGGACCGAGGACCGCGCUUUGCAAGGAUGCUGGCAUAAUGGUCGUCAACGA
rnacentral:rRNA from 1 species